rnacentral:rRNA from 1 species
UACGUAGGGUCCGAGCGUUGUCCGGAGUUACUGGGCGUAAAGCGCGCGCAGGCGGCGGUGCUGGCCCGGCGUGAAAGCCCCCGGCUCAACCGGGGAGAGUCGUCGGGGACCGCACCGCUUGAGGGCGGUAGGGGCUGGUGGGAAUGCCUGGUGUAGUGGUGAAAUGCGUAGAGAUCAGGCAGAACACCUGGGGCGAAGGCGGCCAGCUGGGCCGUCCCUGACGCUGAGGCGCGAAGGCGGUGGGGAGCGAA